rnacentral:rRNA from 1 species
UGCUAGUCGCACGAGUUCAGGCUCGUGGCGAAUAGCUCAGUAACACGUGGCCAAACUACCCUUCGGAACACAAUACCCUCGGGAAACUGAGGCUAAUAGUGUAUACCAUACCACCACUGGAAUGAGUGGUAUGCCAAACGCUCCGGCGCCGAAGGAUGUGGCUGCGGCCGAUUAGGUAGACGGUGGGGUAACGGCCCACCGUGCCAAUAAUCGGUACGGGUCAUGAGAGUGAGAACCCGGAGACGGAAUCUGAGACAAGAUUCCGGGCCCUACGGGGCGCAGCAGGCGCGAAACCUUUACACUGCACGACAGUGCGAUAGGGGGAUCCCAAGUGCACAGGCAUAGCGCCUGUGCUUUUCGGUACCCUAAGGCGGUACCAGAAUAAGGGCUGGGCAAGACCGGUGCCAGCCGCCGCGGUAAUACCGGCAGCCCAAGUGAUGGCCGAUCUUAUUGGGCCUAAAGCGUCCGUAGCUGGCCGCGCAAGUCCAUCGGGAAAUCCACCUGCUCAACAGGUGGGCGCCCGGUAGAAACUGCGUGGCUUGGGACCGGAAGGCGCGACGGGUACGUCCGGGGUAGGAGUGAAAUCCCGUAAUCCUGGACGGACCGCCGAUGGCGAAAGCACGUCGCGAGAACGGAUCCGACAGUGAGGGACGAAAGCCAGGGUCUCGAACCGGAUUAGAUACCCGGG